UGUGAUAUUAAUGAUAUCUUUCUCAGACGUGACAUUCAUUUAGAAAAACCAAACUGGCAGACGCCAGGUUCGCAGACUUGGAGAAGCAGGAGUGUUUUGACAUAUUAAAUGACUGCAGACAGCGGUGCGCUCCCCGCUCUGCAUUCAGCCCACGUUUCCGGAACAUUCUGAGCGCGCUCCUGUGGCUCUGCCUGACCCACCGCCAGCCCUCCUCAGAUCACAUUCAAAGUGAUUGUGCUGUUCAAUAUUUCAUUGACAUCAGCCUCAAAGAUUGUUGCUACAGUGACACCAGAGAUAAUUAUUUUUUACCACAGUCUUUUUUGAGAUGUUUUUACCCCCUCCUCUCCCUGGCUCCAGCCAUUCCUGUGGAGAAUUGUUCUGCAUAAAUCAGCUGGUGGAAUAUUGAAUCAGCCUCACCACGGGGAAUGUGUUUUUGUGUGUGUAUGUGUGACUGAUUAUUACAAAGAGUCAAGGCGCAAAACCAGACAAACAGCGCCGCUAAGUGGGCAGCUCUGGAACACAAAACACAAACAUUCAGUCAUCGUUUAGUCACCUUCAUGUCGUUGCAAAUACAAACCCGUAUUACUAGCUAGUUUUAUUCUACGGGGCACAGAAUACCACAGAUAUUUUGAAGAAUAUUUAAAUCCAAAACUGUAACGGAGACCACUGACUUCUGUUUUGUUUAGAAGGAGAAAAAAAAAACAUAGCCUACAGGUUUUGAACGACAUGAGGGUGAGUAAAUGAUGACAGAGUGCAUUUUUAGGGCUAUUAGGUUUCUAGUGAUUGACGUUACAUUUUGACUGACUGAGAGGUUUUAAGUCAAAUCAGGUUAUGGUGUAAAGCAUUAUCUGCCUCGUACAGAAAUCGUAUUGCGCGGAAAGAGCGCCGCCAUAAGCAGCAUCAUAUAAUUACUUCAUAUUGCCCAAGGAAGCUAAAUAGGUGAGAGAAAGCAGACGGGAUCCGGAAAAUUCCACGAACCUAGACUCAAACCUAUAAUUCUGUGCACGCAACUGCACCAGAGGUCAACACGCUGUCCACAAAGCCAUCGGGAAAUGACGCAAAAUUGGAGAUAGAAGGCAGACAGGAUCUGGAAAAGACCAUGAGGCAGGACUCAACUCAGGAUUCCUUGUGCAUAACAGCACCAGAUGUCAGCACACUGUCCACAAGGCUAUCGGGAACUGCAAGCCUCAGUCAGUUUGAUAAAUAUUAGAACGUCGUGGUGGUGGUGGUGGGGGUUAUCCUGUGUGUGGAUGGAGUUUAACCAGCAUCAGUUUCAUCAGUUUAAAUGUUAAUUUUUUGCCUUUGUGCCAUUUAUUAUAAUAUGAAAUAUGUUGACAGGAAGGAACACAAAAAGGCAUAAAAUCUUCAGACUUCCCCCUCCGGUUCACUGUUUUUAUGAAUCACAAAUCACUAGGCCAACAAAGCUCUCUGCAGACAGGGGCCCUGGGUUACUGUGGUCACAUGGGAACCCUGCAGACAUCAUUUGCACAAGACUGCCAGAGACCCCCCCCCACACACACACACACUACACACACACACACACACACACACACACACACACACACACACACACAUCAGGAGACCUUGAACAGGUCAGUGCUGCUAACUAACUACACGGACACAUGUUUGUGAAGACUUGCUGUCUACACAGAUUUUUCUAAUGAACUACAUUGUAUUGAAGUACAUAACCCCAUUCAUGUCUACCAUAAUUCUGCCAGAUCCGAGGGUCCACAGCCCAAUUCUGGUUUGGGUUCUUGCAGACCAACAACAGGCUGCAGUGCAAUAGUAAAUCUAUAGUUUGAGCUGACAAUUGCUCUGCACUGAAAUCCUUGUAAGUUCAGAUUGACUUUGUUAAAACUGGUUUACUCAGUUUGUAGUAUUCAAACAUUUAAUAUUUAAUUAUACUAUUGCAUUAUAUUUAGUGCGCAGUGAUCACUUGAUGUCUAAGACCAGGAUAGUACAUUUUAAGUACCACAAAAGCAAGGUCUCGAGACACUUUUUUCUUUAAAAAAAAAAAAAAAAAAAAAGCAGCACCACUAACAGUGCAAAAAAAGUGCAGUGUAGACAGCGUCAUUGCUUAUAACAGGAAUUUUGUCGAGAGUCCAGAACUUGCGCUGUGUGAUUGACAGCUUCAGCGAUUAUUAAGGGAGUGUUCUUUGAUUGCUUUUUAUAUAUAAUUUAAUCACAAUUUAAAUAAAUAAUUUUCAUGCUACUAAGGCCACAUACACACUAAGUUUCAGGAGUGACAACCACAUUUAAAUAUGGGAAAAGCUUGUUGUUUAAGCUCGGCUCAUAAAGCGAUCGAGUUUACGGAGUUAUUAAAGUGAGCAGAUGUGGGCCUUGUUCGCUGUUUUUCUAGAAAGAUCUGGAAGCGCUCCUGCUGCUUUCCCUGUGAUUUCUUCACCACACAUGCAGAAGAGAAACAUCUCAUCAUUAACAACUAGUUGUUCAGUUCUGUACACACUGUGUAGAAUGUUUGUAAAUGCGGUUGUCACUACCUGUAUUUUUCGGGAGUUAAUUUGGUUGUAGAAUGCGGUUGUGACUCCCUUAUUUUACUGAACUCUAUGUGUACAGAAUGCGAUUAAGCACUAAAAGGUGAACUGGCAACCGAAUUUAGCUGCAGUCUGUAUGUGGCCUAAGAGAAACAAUGUGAAGUUGACCAUUUAGUUACCGGCUUGAUUUACUGAUGCAUAAACAGCAAUAAACAUCAAACUACAUCAAAAUGUGACAAAAUCCAAAAUGAGUUCUGAAACUUACAGGAUGUUUUUAUAGUACCAUGACCUCUUACAUGCAAACAGAUCAAGGAAAAUUUUAUUUCUCAGUUCAUGACCCCUUUAAAGCCAUAGUUGAGCUGAUGAAUGUAACUACCAGAACAUAAAUAAACCUGAGCAUUAUUCUGAGCUUAACUAUACUGCACUGAAUAACAGUAAUCCCCCAAAACUACCCACACCUCCCAGUGACUUGUGCUUCAUGCUUUGUUUUCAGCUGAUGUAAAGAAGACCCUAUCCAGGAAUAAGUUACCCAUGCAAAGCUUUGGGACCUGACUCCUGGCAACAUACCUGGCCAUGUACUAAAAGACUGUACUGAAGAUGACAGAUGUCUUAACAGACAACACCUCGCUGAGCCAGGCAGUUGUCCCCACUUCUCAAGUCCAUCAUCAUACCUGUACCAAAGUUGUCAUCUGUGUCCUGUCUGAAUGACUACCAUCCCAUAGCACUGACCCCAAUCAACCACAUCACGUCUAGUCUCCCUAACACACUGGACCUGCUCCAGUUUGCAUACCAUCUGAACUGCUUUACGGACGAUGCAAUAUCCUUCACCAUCCACCAAGCUCUGGAGCAGAAAAACUCGUUAGAAAACUUAGAAUGCUGUUUUUCGACAAAGGAGGUUGUGAUGGGCUGACCAUCGACAACUCAACUGUGGAGUCAGCAGUACUAAAUUCCUGGGGGUGCAUAUCAUAUACCUUUUCCACCAACAUGAACCGGGUGUUAGCUCAUAGCUAGUGCUAUGGCCGGUUCGGAGUUGGUUCGACUGGCGAGCCUUCUAAGAACUGGUUUGCCUUUCCACAGGAUAGAGAGCCACCGAAGAGCCAGGUCUUACGCCACUGUAUACGUCUUAUCUUUCUCAGCAACGCUAGAGCCAAACACACCAUCAACAAUGGCGGACGUUGCAUUACUAUUGAUGCUCAUGGCUUUGGAACCCACAUCGGCAUCCAAACACGGCAAAUCCAGUUCGUGCAGCUCACUGUAAUUUGUACAGGUGGAGAUUGCGGUCACAAGUUUCUGUUUGCCUUGUUGGUCACGGUGACCCUACCACAAGCGGUUCUUACUUCUAGACCAGUGGUUCUCAAACCUGUCCUGGGGACCCCCCACCACUGCACAUUUUGCAUGUCUCCCUCAUCUAACACACCCAAUUCAACUCUUGCAGUCUCUACUAAUUAGCUGAUGACUUGAAUUAGGUGUGUUAGGUGAGGGUGGCAAGCAAAAUAUGCAGUGGUGGGGGGUCCCCAGGACAGGUUUGAGAACCACUGUUCUAGACCAGCAAUGUUUCGGUGCUACUUGCGAACCACUUUUCCUGGUUCAGAGCUGGUGUUUUGGGUGUCGAAAGACAAAGAACUGAUCUAAAACUAGGCUCUGGACCAGCAUGUAAACUGCCUUGGUAUGUCUAAAGUUUUAAGUAUGUGUAUAGUAAGAUUACUCGCUAUAAAGUUUAUAUAUGUACAUGAUUUAUAUAAGUUUUAUAUGUAUCAUUUCUUUGUUUUGUGUUUAUUCAUCUUUGUCUCCACAUACAGCGAAUGACAAAGCUCACUUGAACUUCAAUGAGAGCUAAAGCUACAAGUAUCAGUCUUUUUAGUCCAAAAUAGAACAAUCAAGAGUGAAAUUGAACUGACGAUAUCAAGCGAUACCACAGAAUUGUUGUGCUGGCUUGACUUUGCAUAAUUUGGCUGCUAUAAAUGUGUAACAAAA